AUGCUGAGUUAUUAAACUCCUAUUAUAUAUCUAUAGACCUUUUUAUAAGUAGUGUAUUGUGUGUAGAAUAUAUUAGAUAGAUGGACUUAUAUGAGUGUGGAGUUGAGCUGCUCCUAUGAAUUUAUGGCGAAAAAGUUGUAGAGCACUUAUGAAAAUCAGGUGCGCGCAUGGCCUACUAGCGCAAAACCGCGACAAACAAUAAAGUGUGUGUGGGUAUAAUGUGAUAGAUAAGACACUAAACUUACAAAAAUAUUCUUGGUUCAUAUAAUUUCUAAACUUCACCAAUUGUUUUGUAAGUUUAACCUUAUUUUAUCUAGGUCUGGUUCAUAGUCCAAGAGGCACCAGAAUCAAUGCAUUAUGCUCAUUUCUGAAAACCAAGAGAAAUUUAUUUUCAUUAUGGUAUUCUUUUUAAGCUAUGUUGGGGAUUGUUUUAAAAAAAAAUUAAUAUCUUAAAAAGAACGGGUAUUUUAAUAUAUUUUAAUAUCUCAAUAUUCAUUAACAUUGAAUGGGUAUUGCCAUCAGUUAUGUUUUUGUAUUCUUAAAAUUGAUCAAAGGUCUUGUCGGUUUGCUGACAUUAAAAGUGAUACUAAUUUCCUUUAACUUUUAAAGGGAAUGAUUAAAAUAGUUUCUUCUUUGAAAUUGAAUUCUUAGACAUGAAUUCUUAAGAUCCGUUUUGGUUUCAAAUUUCAUUUUGGCAUUGAAUUUUUAAAAUAAAUUUUUAACGUUUCUUUCAAGGAAGAUGUAUCUUCUUUGGGCUAUAUAUAAAACUAUCUACUUGUGUUCAUGGAAGUGGUGUGGAAAAAAGUUAAAAUUUCUUUUUCUUUUUUUUUUGUGUUGGGUUUUCUUUUAUAUAAUCUUUGUUGUUUCUAUUCCUAAAUAUACUAGAAGAACUUGUUGGAUCCUGAGGGAUAGGUCUAAUUAUUUAUCUCGAAUGGACAAAAUAUCCUUAGGAACAGUGUCUUCGACACGCCUCAAGCUAAAUCCUUUAUUCUCCAUAAUAAUCCAAUUUUGUUUAACAACAAUAAAGUGGCAUUUUGAAAUAUUUUCAAGUCCAAUCCGGAACCAUUUUCAACCACAAUACUUUGCAUAAAUUGUUGAAAAAUAUAUUUCUCGGGAAAGAUGGUUGAUAGAAAGAAGGAAAAAUGAACCAAAGUGUUCAGAAUAAACCCCAUAAAAAUAAUAUUUACGGUAAUAAAAGUAAAUAAUAACGUAACAUCGAGAUACGAUAAUUAAAUGAAUCAAAGAGUGACAACGGCCCCAAGAUUUUUAUAUAAAAAAUUAUUUGAAUAAAUAAAAAAUCACGGUCCAGAAAAUAGCAACUGAUAUCACUAUAGCAAGGAAUUUUACACUUUGUAGGUCCUAGUAAAAUACUCCAUAAACCACUACAACACUCAAAAGAAAUAAACCUCUUUUGAUAUUCUUACCUCACUAUAAUAUCCCUCAUUCUUUAUUUUUCUCGCAGACAAUUUUCUUCUUUCUCAUCUGCAAUGCCUCACUCUUUCUUUCUCUCUUUGUUGGUGC
rnacentral:lncRNA from 1 species